AACGAACGCUGGCGGCAGGCCUAACACAUGCAAGUCGAGCGGGUCCUUCGGGACUAGCGGCGGACGGGUUAGUAACGCGUGGGAACGUGCCCAAAGGUACGGAAUAGCCUCGGGAAACUGAGAGUAAUACCGUAUGUGCCCCUCGGGGGAAAGAUUUAUCGCCUUUGGAUCGGCCCGCGUUGGAUUAGGUAGUUGGUGGGGUAAUGGCCUACCAAGCCGACGAUCCAUAGCUGGUUUGAGAGGAUGAUCAGCAACACUGGGACCGAGACACGGCCCAGACUCCUACGGGAGGCAGCAGUGGGGAAUUUUAGACAAUGGGGGAAACCCUGAUCUAGCCAUGCCGCGUGGACGAUGAAGGCCUUAGGGUUGUAAAGUCCUUUCAGCUGGGAAGAUAAUGACGGUACCAGCAGAAGAAGCCCCGGCUAACUCCGUGCCAGCAGCCGCAGUAACAC
rnacentral:rRNA from 1 species